rnacentral:rRNA from 1 species
AGACGAACCGUCCAAACGUUAUUCGGUAUCACUGGGCUUAAAGAGUUCGUAGGCGGCCUAGUAGGUGAGAUGUGAAAUCCCACGGCUCAACCGUGGAACUGCGUUUCAAACCACUAGGCUUGAGGGAGAUAGAGGUGAGCGGAACAGAUGGUGGAGCGGUGAAAUGCGUUGAUAUCAUCUGGAACACCGGUGGCGAAAGCGGCUCACUGGAUCUCUUCUGACGCUGAGGAACGAAAGCUAGGGUAGCGAACGGGAUUAGAAACCCUAGUAGUCC